AUGGCCGACGAGUUAAUCGACCAUUAUAUGAAAGAAAAAUUGGAGGAAGAACGCGGUGCAGUUCUCAAUAUGUUUAACAAAGCUGUUCUCUCAAGAGGUUAAUUUAUUGCAGAUCGUGGAAAAGUUAGGACCCUAUCUUACCAAUCAAGAAACAGGUAAAAGAUGCAAGGGAACACAACUGCUGUCCUUGUUGCUUUGUAGGCUUGUAACCAACAAACUCCUCAACAACGAAGGUAUGCUUAUGAUAAUUUAGUGACUAAGCACACUUUACUCUUAUCUACAUUUUGCCAUUAUGAACAUUCAUAUUCACAAGGUCACAGACUACUGUAGGAUUUUGUUCACACAAACAAUCUGGUCGCUAAAACAGUGUUUUACUCAGCGGACUACUAUCUCGAAGGUGCAAGUUCAAAUCUCGUCCAAGUCGCAUGUUUUUCAUGUGCAUAUU